AAAGAAGUACAAGUGGUAGGG
rnacentral:miRNA from 2 species